UACAUCUCCACAGAUGUUGCAGGUGUGGCUGCUGUGUCACUUGUGCAUCAGUAGGUGACAGAGAGGAGAGAGGCUAUAUCUAUGCUCUGAUCUGUGAACAACUGACUGAACAACAUUCUCUGAAG
rfam:Mus musculus chromosome X, GRC primary reference assembly.